rnacentral:rRNA from 1 species
GUCGAGGGGCAGCACAAAUAAGCUUGCUUAUUGGUGGCGACCGGCGCACGGGUGCGUAACGCGUAUGCAACCUACCUUAUACAGGGAGAUAGCCCGAAGAAAUUCGGAUUAAUACCCCAUAGUAUCAUUAGAUGGCAUCGUUUGAUGAUUAAAGUUUCGGCGGUAUAAGAUGGGCAUGCGUCCUAUUAGCUAGAUGGUAAGGUAACGGCUUACCAUGGCUACGAUAGGUAGGGGGCCUGAGAGGGUAGUCCCCCACACUGGUACUGAGACACGGAUCAGACUCCUACGGGAGGCAGCAGUGAGGAAUAUUGGUCAAUGGUCGGAAGACUGAACCAGCCAUGCCGCGUGAAGGAAGAAGGAUCUAUGGUUUGUAAACUUCUUUUAUUUGGGAAUAAACCCCUCUACGUGUAGAGGACUGAAGGUACCAAAUGAAUAAGCACCGGCUAACUCCGUGCCAGCAGCCGCGGUAAUACGGAGGGUGCAAGCGUUAUCCGGAAUCAUUGGGUUUAAAGGGUCCGCAGGCGGGAAUGUAAGUCAGAGGUGAAAUCCUACAGCUCAACUGUAGAACUGCCUUUGAUACUGCGUUUCUUGAAUUCGAUCGAAGUGGGCGGAAUAUGACAUGUAGCGGUGAAAUGCAUAGAUAUGUCAUAGAACACCGAUAGCGAAGGCAGCUCACUAGGUCUGAAUUGACGCUCAUGGACGAAAGCGUGGGGGAGCAAACAGGAUUAGAUACCCUGGUAGUCCACGCCGUAAACUAUG